rnacentral:rRNA from 1 species
UACGGGGGGGGCAAGCGUUGUUCGGAAUUACUGGGCGUAAAGGGUUCGUAGGUGGCUUGCUAAGUCAGACGUGAAAUCCCUCAGCUUAACUGGGGAACUGCGUCUGAUACUGGCGAGCUUGAGUGCAAGAGAGGAACGCGGAAUUCCAGGUGUAGCGGUGAAAUGCGUAGAUAUCUGGAGGAACACCGGUGGCGAAGGCGGCGUUCUGGACUGCAACUGACACUGAUGAACGAAAGCCAGGGGAGCAAACGGG